rnacentral:tRNA from 1 species
GUGAUGGCUCAGCUAGUUAAGAGUACUGGCUGCUCUUCCAGAGGUCCUGGGUUCAAUUCCCAGUGCCCACA